UACGGAGGGGGCAAGCGUUGUUCGGAUUUACUGGGCGUAAAGGGCGCGUAGGCGGCGUGACAAGUCACUUGUGAAAUCUCCGGGCUUAACUCGGAACUGCCAAGUGAUACUGUCGUGCUAGAGUGCAGAAGGGGCAAUCGGAAUUCUUGGUGUAGCGGUGAAAUGCGUAGAUAUCGGAAGGAACAUCAGUGGCGAAAGCGGCUUCCUGGACCAGCACCGACGUUCAGGCACGAAAGCGUGGGGAGCAAACAGG
rnacentral:rRNA from 1 species